rnacentral:lncRNA from 14 species
GCACAAAUAUAUUGUGUGCUUUUGUAAUUAAAGGAGGUCUUUGGAAGCAAACGCUGACUUUGAAAAAGUUGAUAUGGGACUGGACCUGACAACGCUCCCAUAAAACUGCAAUUACAUAUGUGCAUACCACUCUGGAACUCCAGAACGAGGUUGGAAAUGGUGGUGAGCAGGUCUCAUGGGCUUGCAGCCUGUUGGGCUUGAGAGAAUGAGCCCAGAUUUCAAAUGGAUCCUCUUUUUUGCUUGGCAUCCAGCUCUUGUGCUUGGAGCCAUGCUGCUACCACCCUCAUGGCAAAUAUCAAGGCCUGAUAUUUACAAGGGAAAGAAGAAGUGGAGCUGCUGAUGCAAUGGGAUGACCAGAAGCUGGAACACCACAUGGCUCAACAUGUUACAGAUCCUAGCUGCAGAUAUAGCUGGAAAAUGACUGUCAGACGGAAUACAAUAAGGAGUUGCUGGAAAGGAGCCAUUGCUGUGCCUUGUUACAGAUUCAGAGCAAAAGUUUUCAAGGAGUAUUCAUCUGGCAUUCCUACAACUGCAGUGUGUGGCACUCCUGAAAAGUGUUUAGAGGAAGAGGUCCUCCAACUGCAGCUGUCACUUACCCCUGGUACAGUGUUAUGUCAAGCCUGCUGUGUGAAAGCCUCAGAGAGAUGCUCAUUUGGGGUCCCUGUUCAGCUGCCUUGUACCCUCUAG